AUUGAACGCUGGCGGCAUGCUUUACACAUGCAAGUCGAACGGUAACAGGGUGCUUGCACCGCUGACGAGUGGCGAACGGGUGAGUAAUGCGUCGGAACGUGCCGAGUAGUGGGGGAUAACGCAGCGAAAGUUGUGCUAAUACCGCAUACGUACUGAGGUAGAAAGUGGGGGACCUUCGGGCCUCACGCUAUUCGAGCGGCCGAAGUCUGAUUAGCUAGUAGGUGAGGUAAAGGCUCACCUAGGCGACGAUCAGUAGCGGGUCUGAGAGGAUGAUCCGCCACACUGGGACUGAGACACGGCCCAGACUCCUACGGGAGGCAGCAGCGGGGAAUUUUGGACAAUGGGCGAAAGCCUGAUUCAGCCAUGCCGCGUGUCUGAAGAAGGCCUUCGGGUUGUAAAGGACUUUUGUCAGGGAGGAAAUCCCUAGUGCUAAUAACACUGGGGGAUGACAGUACCUGAAGAAUAAGCACCGGCUAACUACGUGCCAGCCGCCGCCGUAA
rnacentral:rRNA from 1 species